rnacentral:rRNA from 1 species
UGUGCCAGCAGCCGCGGUAAUUCCAGCUCCAAUAGCGUAUACUAAUGUUGUUGCAGUUAAAAAGCUCGUAGUCGGAUUUCAGUUUAGAAUAGAAUUUCCAGAACGGGAAGACUGUUCUUACUUCUUUGAUAGAAACACUUAUGUUAUUCAUUUAAUGUGAGUUGCGACUGUCUCUUUUACUUUGAGAAAAUUAGAGUGUUCAAAGCAGGUUUAUGCCUGAAUAUUGCUCUUGGAAUGAUAAAAUACGACUUUGGUUCGAAUGUAUUGGUGAUUUGGACCAGAGUAAUGAUUGAUAGGGACGGUUGGGGCUUCACGUACUGCAAAGCGAGAGGUGAAAUUCUUGGACCUUUGUAUGACGAACAACUGCGAAAGCAUUUGGCUAGGACGUUCCCGUUGAUCAAGAACGAAAGUUAGGGGAUCGAAGACGAUCAGAUACCGUCGUAGUCUUAACCAUAAACUAUGCCAGCUAGGGAUCGGAGGAUGUUACUAGUCGACUCCUUCGGCACCUUAAGAGAAAUCACAAGCAUUUGGGUUCCGGGGGGAGUAUGGUCGCAAGGCUGAAACUUAAAGGAAUUGACGGGAGGGCACCACCAGGAGUGGAGCCUGUGGCUUAAUUUGACUCAACACGGGAAAACUUACCAGGUCCGGACAUAGUAAGGAUUGACAGAUUGAAAGCUCUUUCUUGAUUCUAUGGGUGGUGGUGCAUGGCCCGUUCUUAGUUGGUGGAGUGAUUUGUCUGGUUAAUUCCGUUAACGAACGAGACCUCAGCCUGCUAAAUAGUUCAGCUUUCUUUGGAAGGCUGCCAACUUCUUAGAGGGACUACUUGAGAUACAACCAAGCGGAAGCUUGAGGCAAUAACAGGUCUGUGAUGCCCAAGGC